GAAAGAUGGUGAACUAUGCCUGGCGAGGACAAAGUCAGGGGAAACCCUGAUGGAGGUCCGUAGCGAUUCUGACGUGCAAAUCGAUCGUCGGAGCUGGGUAUAGGGGCGAAAGACUAAUCGAACCAUCUAGUAGCUGGUUCCCUCCGAAGUUUCCCUCAGGAUAGCUGGCAUUCAUUAUAAAACUAAGAGUCUCAUACGGUAAAGCGAAUGAUUAGAGGCCUUGGGGCCGAAACGACCUCAACCUAUUCUCAAACUUUAAAUGGGUGAGAUCUCGGGCUUGCUUAAAUGAAGCCAUGAGAAAUUUUUUUAUUUUUUUAUUUUUUUUUUAUAUCAUUAAUAAAAUAAAAAAAAAAAUAAAAUAAGGAUCAGAGGGCCAAGUGGGCCAAUUUUGGU
rnacentral:rRNA from 1 species